AUUGUGGUGGAAUCCGCAGCGCAACGCGCGCUUUGAAGAUUUAGUUUUGGCUGUACUGUUCGAAACCCAAACCCCCCAGCCCACCCAGCCUGAUCUCGGCCCACACAUUCGAAUUCCUUCACCGACUCUUCUUGUUCAGCGAUUAUUUUGCAUGGUUUGCAUAUAUAUAUAUACACACAUAAUGAUCUCUACCUCUACGCAAACCCUACCUGCCGCCUCACCUGAACCGCUCCUCCUCGCCCGAAACACUACGUCGAACCAACCACUACCUUCUUCUCCGGCGAGUUCACCGGCGAACACCGGACGCGAUUGAUCAAAAGUUAUUUUAGCAAGUAGACUAUCUGCCGAGCAAAUCAAGGUGAUUACUGAAGGAACUUGGGGAGCUUGCUGUCUGAUGCUGCUGGAGUGGUUAUGGUCAUAAUAAACAGUUGUCUUGAUUUGCUUUUGAUACAUUUACACACUUAUCCGUUUAUGCUUCCGCUCAGUAUUUUGGUUUUGGUUUAACUUUCAAACAAUACAUUUUAUUGAUUUGGUAUUUA